GACGAACGCUGGCGGCGUGCUUAACACAUGCAAGUCGAACGGAAAGGCCCUGCUUUUGUGGGGUGCUCGAGUGGCGAACGGGUGAGUAACACGUGAGUAACCUGCCCUUGACUUUGGGAUAACUUCAGGAAACUGGGGCUAAUACCGGAUAGGAGCUCCUGCUGCAUGGUGGGGGUUGGAAAGUUUCGGCGGUUGGGGAUGGACUCGCGGCUUAUCAGCUUGUUGGUGGGGUAGUGGCUUACCAAGGCUUUGACGGGUAGCCGGCCUGGGAGGGUGACCGGCCACAUUGGGACUGAGAUACGGCCCAGACUCCUACGGGAGGCAGCAGUGGUGAAUAUUGCACAAUGGGCGGAAGCCUGAUGCAGCAACGCCGCGUGCGGGAUGACGGCCUUCGGGUUGUAAACCGCUUUCGCCUGUGACGAAGCGUGAGUGACGGUAAUGGGUAAAGAAGCACCGGCUAACUACGUG
rnacentral:rRNA from 1 species